GAUCCAGUAGCUCAGUGGUUAAGAGCACCUGCAUAUACAUAAAGAAGCCAGGAGGUCCUUGGUUCAAUCCCAAGCUGGGUGA